AUCAUUUAAGUCCAAUAAUCAGUAAGAUUUCACCCUACCAGAAUACACUUUUUUUUAUUAACUGUCUGGACCUUUGCUGAUUACAUUGUCCGGAAUGUGGAGUAUCGCAUUUGAGAAGAGGAUUGGAUCCUAGCCAUAACAUAAAUAUAAGGGUAAUUACAUCCAUGCUGAGAAAGAUUUAGGAAUGAUAGUAAGUUCAUUUGAGUGAGUGGUUUGGGCCAAACUUGAUAGAGAAUAGUCCAGGAAGACAUUUACUAUAAACAGUAGAUUAAAUGUUCUUGCCUGGUUAAUUACAUUUGAACUCUGUUAAUGACUGAAUCACUCAAACUGCUUAAUUGUAUUAUUAGAUGCACAUUUAAGUUAUGUAUUACAUGUCUUUAGUGGUGAUCAGAAUUUUAUCAGUUCCUCUGUCUUUCUUUAUACCAAGUAUGACUCAUAAACCCAGUAUUAAUUUGCCAAGAGAUUGGCAUACUAUUUGUAUAUAUGCUUUUCUUUCAAAUAAUCUGGAUUCCCAAUGCCCACAAUCAUUGAUCCUAAAGAAAAUGUGAGAGUAGGUAGAUAAACUCAAACAUCCCUACCAUCACCCCUGGUAGGAAAUCACUGGUGUAAUGUAUGAUAUUAACAUCUGCACCAAUUACUCUUAUAGGUGGAACAAUCCAAAGUUUUAAUCAGAGAAGGUGGUGUUCAGUUGCUGCUUACAAUAGUUGAUACCCCAGUAUUUGGAGAUGCAGUGGAUAACAGUAAUUGCUGGCAGCCUGCUAUCAAUUACAUUGAUAGUAAAUUUGAGGACUACCUAAAUGCAGAAUCGCAAGUGAACAGAUGUCAGAUGCCUGGUAACAGGGUGCAGUGUUGUUUAUACUUCAUUGCUCCUUCAGGACAUGGAGACAGAUCUCAUUAUGUUGCCCAGGGUGAUCCUUGAUCUCCUGGCCUCAAGUGAUCCUCCAACCUUGGUCUCCCAAAGUGCUGGGAUUACAGAUGUGAACUACCACACCCAGUCAACGUGCAGAAGGUUUUCAGUUUGAUGUAGUCUGAUGUAGUCUCAUGUAUUUAUCCUUGUUGUUGUUGCCUGAGCUUUUGGUGUGAUAUCCAAAAAUAUCAUUGCCAAGAUCAAUAUCAAGAAACUUUCCCCCUAUGUUUCUUACAGAAAUUUUAUGGUUUCAGAUUUUUCAUCUAUUUUGAGUAUAUUUUUGUGUAUGAUGUAAGAUAAGGGUCCAGUCUCCCCAGUGUUGGAUAUCCAAUUUUCAUAACACCAUUUAUUGAAGAGAUUAUUCUUUCUCCACUGUGUUUUCUUGAUGUCCUUGUCAAAAAUUAGUUGACUUUUAUAUGCUUGGGUUUAUUUCUGGGCUCUAUUCUGUUUCAUUGCUUUACAUCUCUGUUUUCAUGCCAGUGCCACAGUGUUUUGAUUACUAUAGCUUUGUAAUAUAAUUUGAAAUCAGAAUGUGUAAUACCUAUAACUUUGUUUUUUGCUCUAAAGAUUUAUUUAUUUAUUUAUUUAUUUUUGCCAUUUCAGGUCUUUUGUGGUUUCAUAUGAAUUUCAGAAUUGUUUUUCCUAUUUCUGUGAAAAAUGCCAUUGACAUUUUGAUAGGGAUUGUGUUGAAUCUAUAUAUUGCUUUGGAUAGUAUGGAUGUUUUAACACUAUUAAUUCUCCCAAUCCAUGAACAUGAAAUAUCUUUCCAUUCACUUGUGUCUUCUUCAAUUUCUUUCAUCAAUGUUUUAUAGUUUUCAUUGUGCAGAUCUUUCACUUACCUGGUUAAAUUUAUUCCUACAAUUUCAUUCUUUUUGAUAUUAGGGUAAAUUGAAUUAUUUUCUUGAUUUCUAUAAAUUAUUUAUUAUCAUACUCAUACUUGUCAGGCCUCUGGGCCCAAGCCUGCAUGUAUACAUCCAGAUGGCCUGAAAUAACUGAAGAAUCACAAAAGAAGUGAAAAUGGCCAGUUCCUGCCUUAACUGGUGACAUUACCUUGUGAAAUUCCUUCUCCUGGCUCAGAAGCUCCCCCGCUGAGCACCUUGUGACCCCCGUCCCUGCCCACCAGAGAACAACCCCCUUUGACUGUAAUUGUCCACUACCCACCCAAAUCCUAUAAAACAGCCCCACCCCUGUCUCCCUUCACUGACUCCUUUUUCAGACUCAGCCUGCCUGCACCCAGGUGAAAUAAACAGCCUUGUUGCUCACACAAAGCCUGUUGGUGGACUCUCUUCACACAGAUGCGCAAGACAAUACUAACACCAAUAUUAUUUUGAUUCGUCAGAUGGAAAAGUAAGGCUUGAAGAGGUUAGAAAUAACUUUUCCAAGGUCAC
rnacentral:lncRNA from 1 species